AUGUUCUCAUUCACUCACACAAGUUAAGCAACAUUGAGCCUGAUCAGUAUCUAGAUAGGUGACCUCUUGGGAAUACCAGGUGCUGUAAG